rnacentral:rRNA from 1 species
UACGAGAGGAACAAUAAGUGAUGACCUCUGGGUGUAGCGAUUAAUUAUUCAAUUAUGUUGCAAAACUACGUCAUGAAUAAUAAAUGCUGAAAGCCUCUUAAGCAUGAAGUUAAUCUUAAUGAUAAACAACUGAGGAAUACUACCUCUUUGAAGAGUGGGACUGUAAGAAUGAAGGUGUAUACCGACAUUUUGAGGUUACCAUUUCGUUCUGUAUAAAAAUA